CCCGCUGAACUUAAGCAUUAAGGG
rnacentral:rRNA from 1 species